rnacentral:rRNA from 1 species
AGUGAACGCUGGCGGUAGGCCUAACACAUGCAAGUCGAACGGCAGCACAGUAAGAGCUUGCUCUUACGGGUGGCGAGUGGCGGACGGGUGAGGAAUACAUCGGAAUCUACUUUUUCGUGGGGGAUAACGUAGGGAAACUUACGCUAAUACCGCAUACGACCUACGGGUGAAAGCAGGGGAUCUUCGGACCUUGCGCGAUUGAAUGAGCCGAUGUCGGAUUAGCUAGUUGGCGGGGUAAAGGCCCACCAAGGCGACGAUCCGUAGCUGGUCUGAGAGGAUGAUCAGCCACACUGGAACUGAGACACGGUCCAGACUCCUACGGGAGGCAGCAGUGGGGAAUAUUGGACAAUGGGCGCAAGCCUGAUCCAGCCAUACCGCGUGAGUGAAGAAGGCCUUCGGGUUGUAAAGCCCUUUUGUUGGGAAAGAAAAGCAGCAUGUUUAUCCCCCGCUGUUCUGACGGUACCCAAAGAAUAAGCACCGGCUAACUUCGUG